rnacentral:lncRNA from 1 species
GCCGAUAUUUGAAGUUGUCAGCUGUGCUAUUGUGGGUUAACUGUUCAGAAAGCCUACUUUUUUUUUUUUUUUUUCCUAAGCAGUAAAGCUGUUUCUGUAGUCUUAUUUUAUUUGGUAACUAUGCUGUGUUUAAAUAUAGUUUGUGGGUGAAAUUCUUAUAAGUUAGCAUUUGUACUUUAUAUGGUUUUGUGCUAGGAAACCUCGGUUGAAGAAAAGCACUCACAGGGAACUCUAGCAAAUGUCCUUCCCUCAGGGUGUAUACUGUAGGCACUCCCGCUGUUAUUUUCUGACACCAGAAAGAAGCAAUGCAAACAGGGAAGAACACAGAACUCAAAACACCGUGGGAACUGAUUGGCUCCAUGUCUUUGAUAAAACUGUUGAUUUGGCUGUCCCUGGGCACUGAGGAUUUUGGUAUCAAGAAGUUAGGGCAGUUUCCCAGACCUCGGCAGGUAUAUGCUAACUAUGGCUAGUAACUGGCAGUGGAC